GGGGGGGGGGGGGGGGGGGGGGGGGGGGGGGGGGGCGGGGGGGGGGGUGGGGAGCUGGCUCGUCGGGCGUUGGCGGCGGGCGGGGGGGGGACGCGGGGGUCGCCUCCCUGUCGGGCGGGGGUGCCGUCGGGAAACCGUGGCUAAUACGUGCUAAUAUGUUGAACCGCAUGGUUCACUCGUGAACGCCGGUUUUGCUGUCCCUUCUAUAUGGCUCCACGCCGCAUUAGCUCUUUGGUAAGUUAACGGCUUAACAAGGCAACGAUGCGUAGCCGACCUGAGCGGGUGAUCGGCCACACUGGAACUGAGACACGGUCCAGACUCCUACGGGAGGCAGCAGUAGGGAAUCUUCCGCAAUGGGCGAAAGCGUGACGGAGCAACGCCGCGUGAGUGAUGAAGGUCUUCGGAUCGUAAAACUCUGUUAUUAGGGAAGAACAAAUGUGUAAGUAACUAUGCACGUCUUGACGGUACCUAAUCAGAAAGCCACGGCUAACUACGUG
rnacentral:rRNA from 1 species